UACGUAGGGUGCGAGCGUUGUCCGGAAUUAUUGGGCGUAAAGAGCUUGUAGGCGGUUUGUCGCGUCUGCUGUGAAAAUCCGGGGCUCAACCCCGGACUUGCAGUGGGUACGGGCAGACUGGAGUGUGGUAGGGGAGACUGGAAUUCCUGGUGUAGCGGUGGAAUGCGCAGAUAUCAGGAGGAACACCGAUGGCGGAGGCAGGUCUCUGGGCCACUACUGACGCUGAGAAGCGAAAGCAUGGGGAGCGAACAGG
rnacentral:rRNA from 1 species